rnacentral:rRNA from 3 species
GGGCGUUAAGUUGCAGGGUAUAGACCCGAAACCCGGUGAUCUAGCCAUGGGCAGGUUGAAGGUUGGGUAACACUAACUGGAGGACCGAACCGACUAAUGUUGAAAAAUUAGCGGAUGACCUGUGGCUGGGGGUGAAAGGCCAAUCAAACCGGGAGAUAGCUGGUUCUCCCCGAAAGCUAUUUAGGUAGCGCCUCGUGAAUUCAUCUCCGGGGGUAGAGCACUGUUUCGGCUAGGGGGCCAUCCCGGCUUACCAACCCGAUGCAAACUGCGAAUACCGGAGAAUGUUAUCACGGGAGACACACGGCGGGUGCUAACGUCCGUCGUGAAGAGGGAAACAACCCAGACCGCCAGCUAAGGUCCCAAAGUCAUGGUUAAGUGGGAAACGAUGUGGGAAGGCCCAGACAGCCAGGAUGUUGGCUUAGAAGCAGCCAUCAUUUAAAGAAAGCGUAAUAGCUCACUGGUCGAGUCGGCCUGCGCGGAAGAUGUAACGGGGCUAAACCAUGCACCGAAGCUGCGGCAGCGACGCUGAUGCGUUGUUGGGUAGGGGAGCGUUCUGUAAGCCUGCGAAGGUGACCUGUGAGGGUUGCUGGAGGUAUCAGAAGUGCGAAUGCUGACAUAAGUAACGAUAAAGCGGGUGAAAAGCCCGCUCGCCGGAAGACCAAGGGUUCCUGUCCAACGUUAAUCGGGGCAGGGUGAGUCGACCCCUAAGGCGAGGCCGAAAGGCGUAGUCGAUGGGAAACGGGUUAAUAUUCCCGUACUUGGUGUUACUGCGAAGGGGGGACGGAGAAGGCUAUGUUGGCCGGGCGACGGUUGUCCCGGUUUAAGCGUGUAGGUGUGUGUUCCAGGUAAAUCCGGUUCACUUUAACACUGAGGCGUGACGACGAGGCACUACGGUGCUGAAGCAACAAAUGCCCUGCUUCCAGGAAAAGCCUCUAAGCAUCAGGUAACAUCAAAUCGUACCCCAAACCGACACAGGUGGUCAGGUAGAGAAUACCAAGGCGCUUGAGAGAACUCGGGUGAAGGAACUAGGCAAAAUGGUGCCGUAACUUCGGGAGAAGGCACGCUGACACGUAGGUGAAGUGAUUUACUCAUGGAGCUGAAGUCAGUCGAAGAUACCAGCUGGCUGCAACUGUUUAUUAAAAACACAGCACUGUGCAAACACGAAAGUGGACGUAUACGGUGUGACGCCUGCCCGGUGCCGGAAGGUUAAUUGAUGGGGUCAGCGCAAGCGAAGCUCCUGAUCGAAGCCCCGGUAAACGGCGGCCGUAACUAUAACGGUCCUAAGGUAGCGAAAUUCCUUGUCGGGUAAGUUCCGACCUGCACGAAUGGCGUAAUGAUGGCCAGGCUGUCUCC